CUUCCGUAGGUGAACCUGCGGAAGGAUCAUUACCGAGUGAGGGCCCUCUGGGUCCAACCUCCCACCCGUGUCUAUCGUACCUUGUUGCUUCGGCGGGCCCGCCGUUUCGACGGCCGCCGGGGAGGCCUUGCGCCCCCGGGCCCGCGCCCGCCGAAGACCCCAACAUGAACGCUGUUCUGAAAGUAUGCAGUCUGAGUUGAUUAUCGUAAUCAGUUAAAACUUUCAACAACGGAUCUCUUGGUUCCGGCAUCGAUGAAGAACGCAGCGAAAUGCGAUAAGUAAUGUGAAUUGCAGAAUUCAGUGAAUCAUCGAGUCUUUGAACGCACAUUGCGCCCCCUGGUAUUCCGGGGGGCAUGCCUGUCCGAGCGUCAUUGCUGCCCUCAAGCACGGCUUGUGUGUUGGGCCCCCGUCCCCCUCUCCCGGGGGACGGGCCCGAAAGGCAGCGGCGGCACCGCGUCCGGUCCUCGAGCGUAUGGGGCUUUGUCACCUGCUCUGUAGGCCCGGCCGGCGCCAGCCGACACCCAACUUUAUUUUUCUAAGGUUGACCUCGGAUCA
rnacentral:rRNA from 1 species